ACGGAAGGCAGCAGUGGGGGAUAUUGCACAAUGGGGGAAACCCUGAUGCAGCGACGCCGCGUGAGUGAAGAAGUAUUUCGGUAUGUAAAGCUCUAUCAGCAGGGAAGAAAAUGACAGUACCUGACUAAGAAGCCCCGGCUAACUGCGUGCCAGCAGCCGCGGUAAUACGUAGGGGGCAAGCGUUAUCCGGAUUUACUGGGUGUAAAGGGUGCGUAGGUGGCAAAGUAAGUCAGAGGUGAAAACCCAGGGCUCAACCUUGGUAUUGCCUUUGAAACUAUUUAGCUUGAGUGCUGGAGAGGUAAGCGGAAUUCCUAGUGUAGCGGUGAAAUGCGUAGAUAUUAGGAGGAACACCGGUGGCGAAGGCGGCUCACUGGACUGUAACUGACACUGAGGCUCGAAAGCGUGGGGAGCAAACAGGAUUAGAUACCCUGGUA
rnacentral:rRNA from 1 species